UAUUGCACAAUGGGCGAAAGCCUGAUGCAGCGACGCCGCGUGAGGGAAGACGGUCUUCGGAUUGUAAACCUCUGUCUCUGGGGAAGAAGAUGACGGUACCCAAAGAGGAAGCUCCGGCUAACUACGUGCCAGCAGCCGCGGUAAUACGUAGGGAGCGAGCGUUGUCCGGAAUUACUGGGGGUAAAGGGAGCGUAGGCGGGGAUGCAAGUUGGAUGUUUAAACUAUCGGCUCAACCGGUAAUUGCAACCAAAACUGCAACUCUUGAGUGAAGUAGAGGCAGGCGGAAUUCCUAGUGUAGCGGUGAAAUGCGUAGAUAUUAGGAGGAACACCAGUGGCGAAGGCGGCCUGCUGGGCUUUAACUGACGCUGAGGCCCGAAAGCGUGGGGAGCAAACAGG
rnacentral:rRNA from 1 species